AGAUACCCGGGUAGUCCACACCGUAAACGAUGAAUGCCAGACGUCAGCAAGCAUGCUUGUUGGUGUCACACCUAACGGAUUAAGCAUUCCGCCUGGGGAGUACGGUCGCAAGAUUAAAACUCAAAGGAAUUGACGGGGGCCCGCACAAGCGGUGGAGCAUGUGGUUUAAUUCGACGCAACGCGCAGAACCUUACCAACCCUUGACAUACUUGUCGCGGAUCCCAGAGAUGGAUUCCUUCAGUUCGGCUGGACAAUGUACAGGUGCUGCAUGGCCGCCGUCAG
rnacentral:rRNA from 1 species